GACGAACGCUGGCGGCUUGCCUAACACAUGCAAGUCGAGCGAGAGACUUCGGUCUCUAGCGGCGGACGGGUGAGUAACACGUGGGCAACCUGCCUUGUAGAGGGGGAUAGCCUUCCGAAAUGAAGAUUAAUACCGCAUAACAUUGUUCAUUCGCAUGACUCGAUAAUCAAAGUAGCAAUCCGCUACAAGAUGGGCCCGCGACGCCUUAGCUAGUUGGUGAGGUAACGGCUCACCAAGGCGACGAUGCGUAGCCGACCUGAGAGGGUGAUCCGCUAAAUUGGGACUGAGACACGGCCCAGACGACUACGGGAGGCAGCAGUGGGGAAUAUUGCACACUGGGGGAAACCCGGAUGCAGCAACGCCGCGUGAGUGAUGAAGGCCUUCGGGUUGUAAAGCUCUGUCUUCGGGGACGAUAAUGACGGUACCCGAGGAGGAAGCCACGGCUAACUACGUGCCAGCAGCCGCCGUAA
rnacentral:rRNA from 1 species